rfam:Schistosoma rodhaini strain Burundi genome assembly, scaffold: SROB_scaffold0016170
AUCCAGUUAAUGAGUCCCAAAUAGGACGAAACGCGCGUCAGACUGGAU